rnacentral:lncRNA from 1 species
CUCAGUCAUCUCCAUUGCAGGGCCAGCCACAGCUCUUACAGGACAGCUGUAAGAACAAGAGUUCUGGGAGGCUUUCAAUUACACCCAUCUCCAAGUGGAACUCUCCAGGCUAAGAGGAUGAUGACCACCAGCAGGGGAGGCCACUGGGACACAGAGGGUUGGAAUAUCUUACCCAAGAUCUGACAGCUAGGAAGUGCAGGAGCCUCCUCUCGGGUCCUACAUUCCAUCUGAGGACUGGAUCCUGCUGGAAGAAGGAAGGAGGUUUAUCCAGGGAGGGUGUGCAGCCAUGUGAAGACUAUGCCUGCUUCUACUUCAUUUUCCGCCGUGAUUAUGUUUCCUGAGGCCUCCACAGCCAUGUGGAACUGGUUCUUCAUCUGCAACCUGGGAAGAUCAGGAGGACCAGGCUCAGGAGGUUCUGCUUCCUUUAGUUCAAGCACAAAGAGAGUCAAGACCCCAAAGAGCAAGCCUGCCUGAAGUGAAGCAAGAUGGUGAUUCUUGAGUCACCUGCACAGCAAAUCAUCAAUCACGUUAUUCUCUGGAUCCAAUCAUGACAGAUUGGCAAGGAUAUUCUGUGUCUGCCUGUUCAUGAAACUGGUGAUGUCUUAUGUUUGGCGGGAGCAUGGGACUUUUGCCCCACAAACAUCUGGAUUCACAUGAAAUGAACUCAAACAUUUUUAUUUCUGGAGUCUGAUUCAGAAAAGCCAAUUGGGGCUUGAGGAGACAUUUAAGAGGCUGCUGAGAAAUGAAGGAACUGAACACUGAACAGUAAAGGACAAGAAUCUUGAGAAGGACAACCUAAGCCUGUCCUUCCCAGCGCCUCCUUUACACUGGGAAGAAACUCCCCUGAAAUUGGAGGUCCCAUGGGUGCUUUUAGGGUUAAAUUAAAAUUUUAAAACUCCAUUCUUGGCCAGAUGUGUUGGCUCACACCUGU